GGGCAGACUUGAGUACUGCAGGGGAGACUGGAAUUCCUGGUGUAGCGGUGGAAUGCGCAGAUAUCAGGAGGAACACCGGUGGCGAAGGCGGGUCUCUGGGCAGUAACUGACGCUGAGGAGCGAAAGCGUGGGGAGCGAACAGGAUUAGAUACCCUGGUAGUCCACGCCGUAAACGGUGGGUACUAGGUGUGGGUUUCCUUCCUUGGGAUCCGUGCCGUAGCUAACGCAUUAAGUACCCCGCCUGGGGAGUACGGCCGCAAGGCUAAAACUCAAAGAAAUUGACGGGGGCCCGCACAAGCGGCGGAGCAUGUGGAUUAAUUCGAUGCAACGCGAAGAACCUUACCUGGGUUUGACAUGCACAGGACGCCGGCAGAGAUGUCGGUUCCCUUGUGGCCUGUGUGCAGGUGGUGCAUGGCUGUCGUCAGCUCGUGUCGUGAGAUGUUGGGUUAAGUCCCGCAACGAGCGCAACCCUUGUCUCAUGUUGCCAGCGGGUAAUGCCGGGGACUCGUGAGAGACUGCCGGGGUCAACUCGGAGGAAGGUGGGGAUGACGUCAAGUCAUCACGCCCCUUAUGUCCAGGGCUUCACACAUGCUACAAUGGCCGGUACAAAGGGCUGCGAUGCCGCGAGGUUAAGCGAAUCCUUUUAAAGCCGGUCUCAGUUCGGAUCGGGGUCUGCAACUCGACCCCGUGAAGUCGG
rnacentral:rRNA from 1 species